rnacentral:rRNA from 1 species
GAUCCAGAGAUUUCCGAAUGGGGAAACCCAGCAUGAGUUAUGUCAUGUUAUCGAUAUGUGAAUACAUAGCAUAUCAGAAGGCACACCCGGAGAACUGAAACAUCUUAGUACCCGGAGGAAGAAAAAGAAAAUUCGAUUCCCUUAGUAGCGGCGAGCGAAACGGGAAGAGCCCAAACCAACAAGCUUGCUUGUUGGGGUUGUAGGACACUCUAUACGGAGUUACAAAGGACGACAUUAGACGAAUCAUCUGGAAAGAUGAAUCAAAGAAGGUAAUAAUCCUGUAGUCGAAAAUGUUGUCUCUCUUGAGUGGAUCCUGAGUACGACGGAACACGUGAAAUUCCGUCGGAAUCUGGGAGGACCAUCUCCUAAGGCUAAAUACUCUCUAGUGACCGAUAGUGAACCAGUACCGUGAGGGAAAGGUGAAAAGCACCCCGGAAGGGGAGUGAAAUAGAACCUGAAACCGUGUGCUUACAAGUAGUCAGAGCCCGUUAAUGGGUGAUGGCGUGCCUUUUGUAGAAUGAACCGGCGAGUUACGAUUUGAUGCAAGGUUAAGCAGUAAAUGUGGAGCCGUAGCGAAAGCGAGUCUGAAUAGGGCGUUUAGUAUUUGGUCGUAGACCCGAAACCAGGUGAUCUACCCUUGGUCAGGUUGAAGUUCAGGUAACACUGAAUGGAGGACCGAACCGACUUACGUUGAAAAGUGAGCGGAUGAACUGAGGGUAGCGGAGAAAUUCCAAUCGAACCUGGAGAUAGCUGGUUCUCUCCGAAAUAGCUUUAGGGCUAGCCUCAAGUGAUGAUUAUUGGAGGUAGAGCACUGUUUGGACGAGGGGCCCCUCUCGGGUUACCGAAUUCAGACAAACUCCGAAUGCCAAUUAAUUUAACUUGGGAGUCAGAACAUGGGUGAUAAGGUCCGUGUUCGAAAGGGAAACAGCCCAGACCACCAGCUAAGGUCCCAAAAUAUAUGUUAAGUGGAAAAGGAUGUGGCGUUGCCCAGACAACUAGGAUGUUGGCUUAGAAGCAGCCAUCAUUUAAAGAGUGCGUAAUAGCUCACUAGUCGAGUGACACUGCGCCGAAAAUGUACCGGGGCUAAACAUA